AUACUUACCUGGCAGGGGAGAUACCAUGAUCACGAAGGUGGUUUUCCCAGGGCGAGGCUUAUCCAUUGCACUCCGGAUGUGCUGACCCCUGCGAUUUCCCCAAAUGUGGGAAACUCGACUGCAUAAUUUAUGGUAGUGGGGGACUGCGUUCGCGCUUUCCCCUG
rnacentral:snRNA from 1 species